rnacentral:rRNA from 1 species
AUGCUUACGCGUGCCAGUGCAGUUCGCCGUGGGUGCUCGCCCCCUUGCGGAUGCUUGCGCGUGCCAACACAGCUCGCUGCGGGUGCUCGGCCAUGCCUGCGCGCGACAGCACAGCUCGCCCUCCCCUGCGUGUGUUGGCGCAGCUCGCCCCGCGACAUGCCUGAGAAGUGGGUGGCGCUGAACAUCAGCAUUAGUGGCAUGAUGGCAGCAGCCGCUGGAGGAGAUGGAUGCGUGUCAAGUUCUGAAGAUGUUGAAUGCAAGCAACCUCUUCUUUGUUGGAGCUGCAGUAGGCAUCCUCCUCUUUGGAGUAAGCUUCUUUGCUGGAGCUGCAGUGGGCAUCCUCUCUGGAGUUAG